UGUGAUUAUUCCAAGCUGAUUUGUUAUGCAGCAGCUGAACCGAAUUUGACAGCGUGUCAUAAUUACGACCAUCAGCUGAACAAAAAAAACCCCAAAACAGACGCAGUAUCAUUAGUCCAGAAGGACUGACCCAAUUAAAAACAAAGUAGCGGUACUUGGUAUACAUCCUUAAUGAACAGUGUAGUCGGUGAUGUGAUUACCUCGCAGAGUUGGGGCUGCAAGUCUUUCAAACCAGUCGGUAGGUCUGCUAGCAUUAGCAUCCUUAGCUCCCUCAUCGCCGGCUUGAGUGUCUCGAUGCCAUCACAACAGUGCCAUCAACUUCACCUCAUGUUUCUGAGGAGGACAAAGACAUCUUGAGUCCACACCAGUGCUGAUGCAACAGAAGCUUGGAACUUAUCCUGCUCAGGGGUGGAGUCUAUCCCAGCUGACUGAGGGUUGAAAGAUGGCCUAUGAUCACCAGUCAAUCUGGGGAGAUGGCGAAUGAGAGACGCAAGUAAGCUACGUGAACCACUGCACUACCUAGAACCACUUCUGCUGACCUUUGUGUAGGACACCAUUGCAUCACUGAGUGUUUAAUACUGCGGUGGCCUUAUAAGCAGGGCUGUUCCGCGCCGCAACCACUAGGGCACAUGGACAAAAGGUUCUGACCAAUUUCAAGUUAAUUUAGAGGCCCGGUUUAUAUUAGUCACAUUUGGAGCCUUGGAGGGGAUCAAUCUGUUUAGCUAUUUGCACAAUUAAAUCCCAGCAUAAUUCAAAGAUGAAAAUGGGUGCCUCAAACAUGGGCACAAAAAGCCUUACCUUGUAAGGUAAGCGAGAUUAGCACCAUACAUGAUGCAGUGCAGUAAACUACAAACAUGUACUGACCUUCAUAAAGAAAAAGUUAUUUUUUUAUUCUAUCUGGAGAUGUAUGCGAACCA